AAAAUUGAAAUAAAACUUUCAUUUUUAAGACCGAGCCCAAAACCAUAAUUGUUUACAAAACACUAUUUCCAAAAGUCAUAUUUACAAAUCAAAGUAUCCUGAAAUCGAAUUUCAUAAAUUUUGAAAGAUGUGCAUGAUCAAGCCUUCGCCUUGCCCCGAUCAUCUAAAGAACCUGAAACCAUAACAAACAACUGUAAGCACGAAGCAUAGUGAGUUCCCCAAAAGUCCCACCAUACAACAUAUAACAUAUAUAAUCAUGCAUACAGGGUCCAAUCUCUCAUCGAACUUGAAUACCCACAGGUACACAACCUCCCAGUUGGAUUACCCCUGGGCCACAGUCUUCCGGUCGGAAUUCCCUGUCCGAGUCAAUCAUCAGACUAGAAUACUAAUAUAUAAUGGGUCUAUUCAAUCAUCAAACUAGAAUACCUUUGGGUCAACAGUCAUCGGGUUGGAUUACCCCCGUUCUGUUGGCUCUUUCACAUAGUAGUAAAGCCUCAACCUAAAACCAUAACAUGUCAACAUAUACAUAACAAAUAAAAUAUAUCCAACAACAGAUAAUCAGAUAACAAGUCAAUAGACAUAUAGGCCGAUCCACAUAUCACUACCGUAUACCAACAUCCUAUAUACCAUGACAUGGAUCUAACAGAUCACUACAUCAUUGAUGCGUUCAACCCACAAGAAAAGUUAGGAAAACUCACCUCUCAGUCUGAAAAGAUUGUUGAACAUGACACUACUCUGAAUAUCAGCUCUACCGGUCACCUAUCCAUUGGAACAUAACCAAACAUAACUAUAAAUCAAAAUACCCUAAGGUCAAACUUGGUCAAAACAUGGUCAAAGUCAAAAAAUCAAAAACUCAACCGAUUUGACUCCGCUGAAUACGUCCAACGUACUUAGCAUGUACGCUUAGCGUACUCAAGGAAUAGAUUGGGCCUUCAAGGGAGUACGCCCUACGUACUCAGAAGUACGCCUAGUGUACUCGGCCAAAAAUCAUUUCCCAUUUGAAGUGCUUAAUUCAUUAAGUCCUUUCGUCCAAAUGCAAAUCUAGCCCCCAAAUGAUGUCCUUAACCAUAAAGUUUCCAACUUUAUGGUCUUGCAUGGUUAUUAAGUGCUCAAUACCAAAAACCAUAACUUCUUAACUCAAUAAGACAUCCUAUCCCAUGCAUGGAAGAUAACUAAUGACCAAGAUUACAUUUUUAUGCUUCUAAAUACUCCAAAACAUCUGAAAGGAUAGAUCAUAUGAAUUAGAGUAGCCCAUACUCAUAAUACCAGGCUUAUGGGACCAAAAGAAGAUAAGUCCAUGGCUAAGCAAGAUCUAGUCAAUACUUCAUCAAGUUCAGAGCUUUUUACCUUCAAAUGAUGGCAAAUGAUGAUGUAAUUUUGGAUCCAAAUUGAUCCACUCUUUUAAGAUGGUAUCCUCUUCUUCCCUCCUUCUUCAAGAUCACUAAAACACACAUAAUGUCUCAAAUAUGCUCUCAAAUGGAGUAGGCUUUUCAAAGGGUCGAAAUGGAGCUGGAGGCUGAUGAAAGAAAGAAGUCUUGGGAGAUAAGGAUGUUUAAAUAGGGUUCAAACCCUACAAAUUAGGGUUUGAACCUUGACCACGUAUGCCCAGUGUACCAGGUGUAUGCUCAACAUACUCAAGUAAGUCUACGUACGCCCAACAUACUCAACAUGUACGCCCAACGUACUAACGCAACCCCCAUAAUUACAAGAAUGCCAUUAUGGACGAAUUUUGAAAACAAUUCUCAUACCAAGGGUUAAAAGUGUAAUUACUUGGAAAUAGAGAUGUUACAAUUCUCCCCCACUUAAGUAAGACUUUGUCCUUGAAGUCCGCUUUCACAAAUAACUCAGAUUAGUGUUCUCGCAUCUCCGCCUCGGGACAUUCAGACAAUCCUCCCCGAAGCGCGAUCCGAACAAAAAGUUGGCACAUUCAGGCGACUGCCUUCCCAUACUAUAAUUAACCUAAUCUUAGUGAAAUCUAUGUACCCCGACCAAUAUUUGACCCGCUAACUUUACCACUAAAGAAAAACCAUCAAAAUUCUGCCCAGAAUCCGGAAAUAUACCUUGACUAACUCUCAACCAGGAAAAACUAUCUCUGAACACAGUCAAUAGGACUUCAUUUCGCAAUCUGGACCAUAUAAACCCCUUCCGACCCCGAAUUACCUUGUUGAUACCACUAGGAAACAGAACCCUUAAAUAUUCAUUGUUGUUGAACCCUUCAUUCAAAAACAAGGUGACUACCAACACGAGUCUUAGCUAGAUAACCACUGUAGAGAAACACGUACAACGCCAACAUAUUCCACAACUUCCUAGCUAUAAGACCUAACUUCUAGUGAGAACCACAGAUCCGAGGACUCUCAUAAAUACAACCACCGAAACAACUCCAUCUAUAUGCUCCCAAGGACUAGGAACCCAUCAGUUCUAAACUUCAGAAACCAUACUCCAAGACUAAUAUUCACCCAUUCGUUAAACCUACCCCUUAACUUUGACUAAGAACACCAUCAAACAUGUGGAACGAAUACUCAAAACACACUAAUCGGGAAUUUCAACCAAUCCCAAAUCCAAAAUUCGAACCAAAAACCUAAAAUAAACCCUUGACUCCCUGACACAUGAUUACCAACCCACUGCUCCACACAUGGUCAUUUUCACACUUAGACCAUUCAGAUUAUAUUAUCACCCUCUCAGUUCCACUUACAUACUCUUAGGAGCCAAAUUUUCUAGUUAAAAAAAUUAUAAAAUAAAUAAAUAAAUAAAUAAAAAUAAAAAUAAAUAAAUAAAUGGAAAGCAAAAAUUUCCAGCCGCAACUGUCUUAGAUUGGUGACUGGUUCAAUUAUUGAACAAAAUUUCCAACAUUUUGGUCGCCCGAAGUUUGAUAUUCAUUUAUUUAGGUAUGUUUUAUUGUAUAUAGAUCGAGUUGUUUUUCGCGAAUUGGUGAAUGUUAGGGAGACCAUCGAGUCGGAUACUAUGGGAGGUUUGGGCCAACAUUAAGUGAACCGAUUCCUACAAUGGUGCCCAAGCGAUUAAACCCAAUUACACAUGAGAGAAACCGGCAGACGUGAGAUCAGCGUGUACACUUAAAGAACAGCUCCACCCAAGCCCAUUCAGCUGCUUUCUCCCUACAGUUGCUUUCUCCCUACUACAUAUGUUCUUCAUUGUAUGCAUGUUCCAUUGGGGCUGCGACUGAUCAUCCCUCCUUACUCACCUAGAGGAGUUGUCCUAGCUGUGGUUUAUGGUCCCAUUGUCAUCGGAUGAAAAAGUUGUGAGAUAACAACGAGAUCAAUUAUGACCAUGUUGACUAACGUUGAACAGGUUCUAUGGUUCUUUCCAUUCUUUUUAUUUUUUUGGAUAAUUCGUCCCAAGUUUAUUUUAGUCUUGUCUUACUUGAGGACAAGUAAGGUUCAAGCUUGGGGUGAUUUGAUAGCUUCAUUUUAUUACUUCUUUCCAUAGUUUAUUUUUAGUUAAAACCAUCUCAUUUUAGUUAAUAUUCAUGCAUAUUUUUCUCUUUUUGUUAUUUUCCUCAUUUACUAGGUGCUUUCCAUUCUCUUGAGCUUAUUUUGCAGAAUUUACUGGAGACUAUUUGUUACUGGAGGUAUUGAAGGAGUGCGGGACUAUUGGAGGCGUGCAAUUUGUUUGUGGACUUGAGGUGGUACAAUUGGGCUCGGUGUCAACAAAAGCAAGAAGCAUAUUGGACUUAAUCUUUGGACAAGAAUUCGAGCUACGGUAGAUUGAAGGAGCGUUGGAUCAUUAUUGGAGGUUGUGGAGUAACACAAUUGGGCUAUCAAGACUUGCACAAAUGGGCUAGAGCAUAAAAUAGAAGAUUGGGUUGGAUGGUUUUUGUAUUGGGCUAAAACAUUCAUUUAGCGUGACCCACGCGGUCUGCGUGGACCCAUACGCGGUUCGCGUGAAUUGUGAUGAAGUGAACCCGGGUUUUGACUUGUUGACUCUAUUUAUGGAAGGUUGGUGGGUGGCUUUUGGCACCUUUUCAAAUCCAUAAAUGAGCCCCUUUUUGCUGAAGAUUGGAGGUAUUACUGUCAUCUAUCACUUGAAGAACACACACAAUUUUCUCUCAAGAAAGCUUUCGAAGAUUUGAAGAUUUUUGAAGACUAGUGUGAUUUCUUUCCAUCUUGCAACUAGAACAAUGUUUGGUACCACUAAACUAUAUUGCAUUUCUUUUACUUUGGUCAUGCUUGGCUAAACUUUCAUUUGGUUGAUUAGGGUUUAACCCAUGGAUGAUUAGUUGCUUUGAAGACUUAUUAUUAUCAUGUGUUUGAAGUUUAUGGAAAUGUUUUCUAGUUAAACAUCUUGUUGAGUUUAUUUAUCUUUGAUCAUGAGCUUAGAUGUAUGAAUGCUUAUUUUUGUUGCCUAAUUUCUUGGUUAAGUAAUGGACCCUCAAAUUAGUAAGAAACAAAUGGUUUAUAUGUUUGUUUUCAUUUCAUUUAGACCAUGGAAAUGUUUCCUCCAUAAUGAUAAUGUAAGCAUUUGAUUAUCUUUUGGACUUGGUAACUCUUAGAACUUAAAGCUAAUUGAUUUUCAUAAGAUUAUAAGCUUCAUUGAUUUUGUGACUUUAAUUAAGGAAAUGUGUUAAGAGCUCCUCUAGCCAUUUUAAUAUCUAAGAAGAUUUGAGGUAAUUUGUGCUGAUGAAUUGCUAUUGCCAAGUUAAACCAAUUCACAAGUGUUAUUCCAUUUAGUCUAAUGAUAAGUCAAUCAUGUCAUCCAUGUGGUGUACCCAAAAUCAACUAAUUUCACUUCAUUGAAUUGAAUCAAAUCUUUUACUUGUUUACUUGUCAUAUUUACAUUCUAGCUAGUUUUAAUUUUGUCAAACAAUCAAAAAGAACUAACCCCCCCCCCCAUUUUACUUUUACUUUUGUUUUACAAGUACUUGAACAAGUAAUUUACAUAGAGAUUUAAAUUGAACCAAUCUCCAUGGAUACGAUCCCUUUACCACUAUACACUAUUUUAGUGUGUAAUAUUUAGGGUAUUUAUUUUGUUGGCCUCGACAACCACCACUAAGCUAAUCUUGCCGUUAUUCCAUCGCUAUCCUGAAGACUCAUGACUAGCACCACAGUGGCCUAAAGGUACUCAACCAUCAACCCGAGUCUUACCUAUCUAUAAUACGCAAUCUAUUGAGAGAAAAACUUUUGAGAAACACUUGAACAAACGUUAGUACAAGAUAAGGUUGCGGAAUAAGUUAAUCUCAAAGUAUCAUAAAGCUCAAUAAUAAUAAGAAGUUAGAUUUGUUAGAUAGUUAGUUACAGAAAUGUAAGGUGCGAAAAGUAAAGGAAAUAUAAAUGACAACAAGUUAUAUAUCAAGUAAACACUAAACUGAUUCUUAACAAGGUUUUCAUUCAAACGCAAGUUAGUAUAUGAGAUCAGUUAAAGUGAAAGUAGUCUCGAAGACUAGAUGAGUUAAGAAUACGAUCUUAAUAUUUUGAGUGAAAGUUCAGAAAGAUCUUUUAGAUUGAUAAUCGAAAGAUGAGAAAAGAUAAGUGAUGUGUAUUCAAAGAUGUUCAGAGGUGUAAGUUACAUGAAGAUGAAUUCUCUAUUUAUAGAGACUCAAAAAGUUACAUUGGAAAUAAACAAGUAAUAAACUUCUAACUUAACGUGACCAUGCAAGGCCCAUUGGAUAAAAUAAUGCAUAAAAGACAAGUCAGAUGAUGUAACUAAAAUCUUCAUUACGGAUGGAUAGUUGCGGAUGACAUCUUCAGAUAGUGGUUACGGUAGCAAAAGUGAUUGCGGUAGAUAGAACAGAUUGUGGUAGGAUAAGUGGUUGCGGAUUGUCAAGUUUAAGAGGGUCACUUUAUGUAUCAACAUUUUCCCCCAAAGUGACCUCUUCAACUUUUCUUUCUUACUUAUCAAGUUUUAGAAAUUUGAUGAAAAGCCAGCAAAACUUCCUAACUUCGCCGAGCCAUUGAAUUCUCCUUGUAAUCUCAAACUUCACUUCUUCAUUAUGUAUGCAUGUGUAGGAAAAUAGAAAAAAUGAUGAAAAUUAUAGAAACCGGUUGACCCGGCGGUCGAAUCGGUUGAACCGGAAACCGGUCAUCAUACCAAUUUUAAAAAUUGCUAGAAUGACCUCUAACUGCACUUGCAUACAAAAAAAUGGUGUUUCCUGUUUUUCAACCAUAGAAGGUGUCUUAUGAUGAGGGAUCUCCUUUUUAUCAACAUACAGAACCAAUGCAAACAUUUUAUGAAAGCCAAACCAAACAUCAUAUAAUUUCUUGAUCAUACGAUCAACAUUAUGAAUUCCCAAGAAUCUAACAAAAACAAAACAUUUCCCCAUACGUGACAUCUUAUUAGAAAUAAAGACAUCAACCACUUUGCCCAAUCACUACAAUAAAAAUGGGUUUAUAUGACUAAAAUUUCAGAGACUGAUUAAUCAGUCAUAGAUACCAUGUAUCUAGGACUGAUGAAUUAGUCUCGAAUACAAUCCAGGACUGAUUUUAAUGUGUGAAUCAUUAGAUACUAACCAAACUUAUUCAAGACUAACAUUCAUUCACUAAUCUAUGUGCGCCAGUUUGGGCUUGAUGGGAAACACAUUGGGGACUGAAUUUUAGUCUCGAAUAGUAUAUCACCAGUUGUGACUUUGGAGGGAAAGUUAUAUGGGACUGAAUUUCAGUCGUUGAUAGAUUUGUGCCAGUUUUGAUUGUAUAUGGAACUUAUUAGGGACUAAAUUUCAGUCAUUAAUACAACCGCACCAAUUUUUCAUUUGGAUGGGAACCUUUUUAAAGACUGAAUUUCAGUCUAUAACAUACAUUCACCAUUUAACAUUCAAAUAAACAUUUAAAACUGGCUGGAUCUUAGUAUCUAAUAAUGAUUAUUUAGUCAUAUAUACCAUAUAGCAGAGACUGAUGAAUCUGUCAUGAAUACUAUUUGGCAAGAAAGUUAUUAGGGGAUGAAAUUCAGUCUUAGAUAGACUAGCAACUUUUGACUUUGGAGAGAAAUCAUCAUGGACUGGAUUUUAGUCUUCAAGAAAUGUUAUUUAGUCAUAUAUAUACCAUAUAUCGGAGACUGAUGAAUCGGUCAUGAAUACUAUUUGGAAGCAAAGUUAUUAGGAGUUGAAAUUCAGUCUUAGAUGGACUAGCCACUUUUGACUUUGGAGAGAAAUUAUUAGGGACUGAAUUUUAGUCUUCGAAAAAUGUUAUUUAGUCAUAUAUACCAUAUAUUAGAGACUAAUAAGUUGGUCACGAAUACUAUUUUGAUAAAAAGAUAUUAGGGACUGAAGUUCAAUAAUAGAUAGUCUAUCGCAAAUUUCGACUUUGGAAGGGAAAUUAUGACAGACUGAAAUUAACCCAUGAUAGACGUGUGCCAAUUUUUACUGUGUAAGGAUGUUAUUAGGGGCUGAGUUUCGAUCAAUAAUAAAUUGCACCAAUUUUUCCUUUGGAUGAUAAACAUAUUAAAAACUGAAUUUCAGUCUCUAAAAGACAUGCACUAUUUAACAUUCAAAUAAACACUUCGAAUUGGUUGGAAAGACAUGCAUUAUUUAGUCAUAAUACCAUCUAUCAGAGAUUGAUGAAUCAAUCACAAAUACUAUUUGGAAGGAAAUCGACACAUUAUCCACCCUUAUCUUCAAACGUUUAAAAAUAUUUGCAACUAUAGCAUCUUCCAUUUUCAUGAUUUUAAUCCAAUAAUAAGUUAAGUAAAACUAAUAUUGAUCUCCAUGAUUUAUUUAAUGUCAUUAUCACAAAAUACCAAAAUGGACGGUUUCAUCUAAUAAUCUAAUUAUUUUUUUUAUACAAGAUGAUCAUCGAUUUCAUGAUGAAAAUUAAACAAUUGUUUUACAGAUUCAACAAAAGAAUGUAUAAAGUUUUUGAAAAAUUCAUAUUUUGCAAAAAAUGAAGGUUUUGUAAUAUUAUAUUAGUUUUUUUUUUUCCUAAAGCCUCUCCUUAAUGAGAAUAAUUUUACAAUUAAAUUUUUUUUUUGAACCGGCCGGAAAUUUUACAAUUAAAUCAAUUUCGAAAAGUGAUAUAUAACAAAAUAAGUUGUCAUUAAAAAAAAUAAAAAAAAAACCUCCAUUUGUAAAUGAAACUACCAUUUUUUUUUUUUGAAGUUUUUUGUGAUUAUCUACCUUCACGAAAAACAUUAUUAUACCUUCAAUAACUAUUUUUCCCAUGUAUUUCUUGGAAAAACCAAGGCAAUUGAAUUGAAUUAGCAAGUCUCCAGACUGAUUUACUGGAGCAGGAGAAGUCACAUCACUGAAUCAAUCAUGCCUCUUUUAAUUGAAUAUAGGGGUAGGGGAAUCUAGUAAGAAAGAAAUAGAAAAAAGGAUAGAAAUGGUCAAGUUCCAGCAUUUAUUUCAUCAAGAGAUUCGUUAAUCCACAAAAUAAUCAACUACUAGCUAAUGAUCACGACCACCACUACCACCGUCGUUGCUGCCGCCGCCACCACCACCACAACCACUUCCACGACCAUGCCCACCACCAUAACCUCCACCUAUGCCACUUUUGCCACAACUACUCCAUCACUUCCUUUCCUUUGCUACCACAACUAUGACCACCCUCCACAACUACAACCAUCUAUGUUGCCACCGCCACAACUAUCACCUUUGUUGUUACCGCAACCACUGUCACAUCCACGACCAUUACCACCACCACCACCACCUCCACUACCAUCUAUGUCAUCGUCACCACCACCAUGACUACCUCCAUCCUUUCACACUACAAACAAAAAGACAUGUAGUGACACACGCUUAAUGACACAUUUUUUUGCCAUUGUAAUAUGUUUUUCGUGACAUUAACAUUUAAUAUCAUAUUUUUUUUAAUGAUUGAUGAUUUGAAAUGCUAUUAUAAAUUAUAAAUUAUAGAUUUUAUAUUUUAAUUUCACUCCCAACAGUUUUACUUUCCUAUAUUUCAAUUUCAUUCCUUUUAAAUUUCCAAAUUCUAAUUUUGUUUCCCUUCUUAAAAAUUCAUUGCACUCUUACCCUUUGUAAUUUGUAUCUUCAUUCAAUUGAUCUAGGGCUUGUAAUUUCCAAGCGAAAAUGUCAAGCUCUUUCCCUAGGGGGUGUUUGGGAUUGUUUUUCAGGCUAAAAAGUUCUUUUUACAAAAAUCUUUUUUGACCUUUUGACUUUUUACAAAGAAAGUUUUAGAAUGUGUUUGAUUUAUCUUUUGACUUUUUAAAAUCUAAAAAUUCAAAAGUUACAAAAAGUCACAAAUUCAUAACUUUUGAAACAAUUCAUUUCUAUUCUUGCCAAAAAAAGUUGAUCUAAAAGAAUUUUUUGAAAUGCUAAACAUCUUUUUUGACUUUUCGCUUUUAAAAAAACCAAAAAUACUAAAGGGCAUUUUAAAAGGAUUCCCAACCCCCCUAAUCAUGUUCAAUCACUCUUCUAUGUCAAUCAUGUCAAAUUUAAUUUCUCUUUGACCCUUUGUAUCUUCAUACAUUGAUCCUAGGUCUGCUCGUCAAGAAUGGUUUUCAAUGCUAAUGGAAUAUCUUUCAUGUCUAGAGACGUACAACAACUGCUCAACGAAGUGCCUAGAGAAACUGUGUUUAAAACUCCACCCUUUUGGUGCUCCCCCAUUCUCUGCACCACCGGAAAACGGUGAUUCAUUUCACGCCACUAUGUCAUGCUCUCUCCCUUAUCACGCUCAAUCAUUUUUCAAUGCGUAUCUGAUCAGAGUUGGUUUUUCUAUGACCCCUUUGUAUCAUCAUAAAAUUGAUCCUAGGUCUCCUUGUCAAUAAUUUAUAGGCACACAACAAGUGCUCAACGAAAUGCAUGAAUAGAUUGUGUUCGCAACUCCUCCCUUUCAUUUAUCCCCCCGUUACCUACACCAUCGAAAAAGGUAAUACACGCUCUUAUGUGUAAUUCGUUGUCAGAUUUUUUGAUUUUUGGUCUUAUCAGUUGUUCUUGGGCUUUUUAUUUUAGUUUUGUGUAUCUACUCUGUUUGUUCUAAAGUUAUCAUAUUUUAGGUUUAAAAUAUCGUUUAUUGAAUGUUUUUUGGGCUUGAUGUUUAACCUAUUUGGUGGUGGCUAUGGAAACUCUGAAACGAGAUCUUCCCCACAAAAACUUGUUGAAGCUUUUCUCUACCUCUCUAUUGUCAAACCACUUUUGUUGUUAAUGUUUGGUAAGAUGGUGGAAGUUAGUUUCUAAUUUGAUGUUCUGUUGAUAGGUAAUUCUGAACUCUGUAGUCGAUUACUCUCCCACUAUUUCAAUAAUUCCAUUAGUCGGUUACUUUCAUGAUUAGAUUACUUACUUUCUAGAUUUGAAUGUAGAUUCCUUUUUCGGUUGCUUUUAAAUAGAUUUCAAGGAAUUGUACUUAAGCGUUCGAUGUUUAUGUAUGCGUUUCAUGCCAUCUUUGUUAGACCUUUGUUAAUCAGUUAAAUUUGUAUAUCUUAUUAUUGUUAAUUUUUUUAGGAAAUCUUUUAAAUAUAUAUCUUGUUAAUUUGUUCAGGCUAGAGGGAUGUAUCAAGCCUACAAUAUUUUGUUAAAGGCUCAAGGUAUGCCCACCUAUAAACAUGGAGUUUUUAUGCAUGAUGACAUCACAAAUCUAUUAAAGCAAGAAUAAUAGUUAUGAUUAUUCAUCAAAAUUUGGAAUUUUUUCACAUAUGGUUUAGUUAUUGACUUGUUUCUUAUACUUUUUUGUUUAUUGUUUUAACUUUGUUUGAUUUCAAACGAUUACGUUUCAUUUAUAUAUUACUAGUUCAUUUCGUAUAAAAAUAAAAAUUGAUUUUAUAUUUUUAAGUUAUUAUAUAUGUUAGUUUGAGACUAAAAUUUAGUAUUAAAUUGUAGCAUUUGCAACAUAUUAUUACAACUAAAAGUGUGUAUUAGGGAUUGAAUACCAGUCCUUGUAAACACGUAUCGGAUACCGAAUGAUCCGAGACUGAUAUCACGUCAUUGAGAAAUCAGGUUAUGGACCGAAUGACAUUCUAUUUGAGACUAAUAUCCGGUCACUGAAAAAUUACAUUAGGAACGGAAUGACAUUAUAUGUGAGACAGAUAUUUGAGACUAAUAUCAGUCACUAAACAAACAUUUAGAGACUAAAUGAGAUAAUAUUAAAGAUUGGUAUUCACUCCUUGGAUGAUGGUAUUAAAGACUAAUGUGAUAUAAAUGUGUCCUCGAAGGAAAUAUAAUGAAGACUCGGCAUGAUAGUAUCAAAGACAAAUAUUUAGUCUUUGAAAGAUAGUUUCAAGGAUUGAUACAACAAAUAAAACAUAUUGGGACUAAUAUGAUAUCAAAUUGGGGAUUUGAAGAAAACAGUUUAGAGACUAAAUGAGAUAUUAUCAAAGACUGGUUUUCUGUCGUUGGUACUUUGUUGUAAUAGGGAUUGAUUUAUAGUCCCAGAUACACAAAAAAUCAACAAGAUUAGGUCUCAGGGACUAGUUGGGGACUAAUAAAUCAAUCCUCUGAUUUUCGUCAGAGACUGUCAGUCUUUGAUAACCAUUUUUCUUUUUCUUGUAGUGAAUCUGAAACAAACUCGCCACAUAUACGAAGGUAAAACAAAUUCCGGAAAAUUCGUUACCUAAAAAGAAUGAGUAUCAGACCUGCCAAGAUGAUGAUCACAAUUAGAUUGAAAUUUGUUUCUCUUAUUCUUUCCAUCAUAAUAUUGAUCCCUAUUCCAUCCCUCCUCGGGCUUCCAAUGUGAAUUCCGAAAAGACAUGAUGAUGAACACCCUUGACAGAGCGUAAGAGACAACAAGCCCUAAAUUAAAUUGAAACCAAAUGAUCACGCAAUCAACCACAAAAGCACUGAGAUUCGGCCUCGGCCUUGCCGACAUUUGAAUCCAUCGGAGAAGAAGGGAUGAGGACAGUAGUCGGAGGCGGUAGGUCCGAAAUCGCCAGGGAUUGAUACUACACGCUUCGAAAAUUAAAUGAGUAAG
rnacentral:lncRNA from 1 species